AUGACAUGCUUAGGGAAGAUUUAUAAUCAGUGGGUUAAGAUGAUUACAAAGUCCUGGAUAGAAUGUUUGUUAACUAGAAUUUUGGAUACAAUGGCAGAUUCCCUCAAUCAUUCUAUGGACAAGAAAAUGAAGAAGGAACAUCAUAAGGAAAAUAGAGAAGUUUUCUCUGCCUUCAGGAGGGAUGAAUACAACCAAAAAUGCCUAUCUAAAUUCAUUUCCUUCAACUUGAAACAAAGCUCAAUGGAACCCUGUAAUAUACAUGAACAAGUUUCUGGAAUUUAUGAGGUAAGGGCUGGAAAAACAGAAUUAUUCAGUAAUAGUUAAUAGAUG
rnacentral:lncRNA from 1 species